rnacentral:rRNA from 1 species
GGACUACAGGGGUAUCUAAUCCUGUUUGCUCCCCACGCUUUCGUGCCUGAGCGUCAGUGUCAGCCCAGGGGGCUGCCUUCGCCAUCGGUGUUCCUCCACAUCUCUACGCAUUUCACUGCUACACGUGGAAUUCCACCCCCCUCUGCCACACUCCAGCUCGCCAGUUUCCACUGCCAUUCCCAGGUUGAGCCCGGGGCUUUCACAGCAGACACAACGAACCGCCUGCGCACGCUUUACGCCCAGUAAUUCCGAUUAACGCUCGCACCCUACGUAUUACCGCGGCUGCUGGCAC